rnacentral:rRNA from 1 species
UACGUAGGGUGCAAGCGUUGUCCGGAAUUAUUGGGCGUAAAGGGCUCGUAGGCGGUUUGUCGCGUCGGCUGUGAAAGCCCGGAGCUCAACUCCGGGUCUGCAGUCGAUACGGGCAGACUUGAGUGUUGCAGGGGAGACUGGAAUUCCUGGUGUAGCGGUGGAAUGCGCAGAUAUCAGGAGGAACACCGGUGGCGAAGGCGGGUCUCUGGGCCGUAACUGGACGCUGGAGGAGCGAAAGCAUGGGGAGCGAACAGGA